UAUAUUUGCCAAAGUAAAUCAAACACAAAUGUCAUUGCACCUCCACAUCUAUCAGUUUACAGAAAAACACAGGGCAUGGAGGACCGUAUUACAUAGCAACAUGGGAAUGUCGUCAACAAAAUUCAGACCCUGGGAAACCCUAAGGGCAAAGGUCAACAGGGUCUCUCUCUGUCACAGGCUGGAGAGCAGUGGCGUGAUCAGGGCUCACUGCAGCCUUUACCUCUCAAGUUUAAGUGAACCUUAUGCCUCAACCUCCUGAGUAGCUGAAACUACAGGUAUGUGCCAGCAUGCCUGGCUAAAUGAAAGCUUCUUUUCUUUUCUUUCCCUUGGUCUCAAACUCCUGGACUCAAGUGAUCCUCCUGCCUCAGCCUUCUGAAAUGUUGGAAUUACAGGCUGAGCCACUACACCCAGCUCAAUUUUCUUCCAGUGUUGCUGUCCUCAGUAAUUUCAGCUUAAUCUGCAUCUCUCACCAUGUCCAAUGACAGACCAUGUACACAGUAAUAUAUUCAGAGUGACACAUUGAAUACAGUAAAUGUGUGUGGUAAUUUUUUAACAUGCUCUAUGCUGUCCAUAUGUGAAAUAGUAAGCAUUCAAUAAAUGGUAGCUUUCCUACAUAAAUAC
rnacentral:lncRNA from 10 species